rnacentral:rRNA from 1 species
GAUGAACGCUAGCGGCAGGCUUAAUACAUGCAAGUCGAGGGGUAGCAAGAUUGUAGCAAUACAAUUGUUGACGACCGGCAAACGGGUGCGGAACACGUACACAACCUUCCUACAAGUGGGGAAUAGCCCAGAGAAAUUUGGAUUAAUACCCCGUAACAUAGCGAUGUGGCAUCACAUUGCUAUUAUAGCUUCGGCGCUUGUUGAUGGGUGUGCGGCUGAUUAGAUAGUUGGCGGGGUAACGGCCCACCAAGUCUACGAUCAGUAGCUGAUGUGAGAGCAUGAUCAGCCACACGGGCACUGAGACACGGGCCCGACUCCUACGGGAGGCAGCAGUAAGGAAUAUUGGACAAUGGACGCAAGUCUGAUCCAGCCAUGCCGCGUGAAGGAUUAAGGUCCUCUGGAUUGUAAACUUCUUUUAUAAGGGACGAAAAAAGGUCUUUCUAGAUCGUCUGACGGUACCUUAUGAAUAAGCACCGGCUAACUCCGUGCCAGCCGCCGCGGUAAGAC